GUCUGGGAAACUGCCUGAUGGAGGGGGAUAACUACUGGAAACGGUAGCUAAUACCGCAUAAUGUCGCAAGACCAAAGUGGGGGACCUUCGGGCCUCAUGCCAUCAGAUGUGCCCAGAUGGGAUUAGCUUGUAGGUGGGGUAACGGCUCACCUAGGCGACGAUCCCUAGCUGGUCUGAGAGGAUGACCAGCCACACUGGAACUGAGACACGGUCCAGACUCCUACGGGAGGCAGCAGUGGGGAAUAUUGCACAAUGGG
rnacentral:rRNA from 1 species